AUUGAACGCUGGCGGCAGGCCUAACACAUGCAAGUCGAGCGGCAGCGGAAAGUAGCUUGCUACUUUGCCGGCGAGCGGCGGACGGGUGAGUAAUGUCUGGGAAACUGCCUGAUGGAGGGGGAUAACUACUGGAAACGGUAGCUAAUACCGCAUAACGUCGCAAGACCAAAGAGGGGGACCUUCGGGCCUCUUGCCAUCAGAUGUGCCCAGAUGGGAUUAGCUAGUAGGUGGGGUAACGGCUCACCUAGGCGACGAUCCCUAGCUGGUCUGGGAGGAUGACCAGCCACACUGGAACUGAGACACGGUCCAGACUCCUACGGGAGGCAGCAGUGGGGAAUAUUGCGCAAUGGGCGCAAGCCUGAUGCAGCCAUGCCGCGUGUAUGAAGAAGGCCUUCGGGUUGUAAAGUACUUUCAGCGGGGAGGAAGGUGUUGAGGUUAAUAACCUCAGCAAUUGACGUUACCCGCAGAAGAAGCACCGGCUAACUCCGUGCCAGCCGCCGCCGUAA
rnacentral:rRNA from 1 species